CCCACCCACCUUAGCGAUACAUCCAAAGUCGAAAGAAUUAACAGUACUGCUAUUCGAUCGACCUUCCCCGAAUUCCAAUCGAAUCGGACAAGCGUAAAACCAAAUCUCUUUCUUUUAGCCUCUCAAAGAUUCAUUCCUCCAGAGUCUUGAUUCAACUCCUUAUAGAUUCAUUUCAAGGCUCUUGCUGACCUUCCCCAAAUUUCAAUCAAAUCGGAGAAGCCGUCAAAAGGAAUUGGAGAUUCAACUCCUUAUAGAUUCAUCCAGUCGAGUUUGAGCCUUCCGUUCCCAGAGCAGAAAGCCAAGUAUUAUAGAGAGCUGGACACUGCUGCUGAUGUUGUCAAGCGAGCUUGUCGUCUAUGAGUUGAUGUUUCUUCAGUAAAGAUUCUGUUUUUCACCUAUCUAGUUACUAAUUUCAAGUAGACACCCUUUUCAGAAGAAAGAAGAAGCAAGAUAUUUGGUGAGGAUAUCUAUGGAUAAUGGUGAUAAAAGUUGGAUGAAUCUCCUGAGAUGGACGGAUGAGUAUAUCCGUGUAGAGAAUGAUUUUCUUGAUAAGGCAUUUGAACGAGCCGCCCAAGGAAAUAAAAUAUUAUGCCCUUGCAAAAAGUGUAUGAAUCGCUAUUGGUAUUAUAGAAAUGUGGUGGAGGAUCAUUUGGUUGUUCAUGGAUUUGUUGAUGGUUAUACCAAAUGGGUUUUCCACGGGGAAGGAUUUUCCUCGAGAAAUACACCUCAUCCAAGCAAUGAUGAUGGAGGUUCUACCAUGCAUGACUAUAUUGAUGGUCUACUGAAUGAUACAUUUAGAAAUAUAGAGGGUCACGUAGGGGAUGAAGAAGGAGUUGGGGAAAGACUAUCUGAAGAUACAAAGAAGUUUUUCAAAUUAUUGGAGGAAGGCAAACAAAGAGUUAUACCCGGGGUGUGAAAAUUUCAGUAAACUGAGUUUCACUAUUCGGUUAUACUUGCUUAAAUCCUUGCAUGAGUUGAGUAAUGUGGCUUUCUCUGAGUUGUUGGAGUUGAUAAAAGAGGCAUUUCCCUUUGCUCAGGUACCAGAAUCUUUCAACAAGGCUAGAAACAUGAUAAAAGAUUUAGGUCUUCAUUAUGAAAAAAUACAUGCAUGCCCUAAUGAUUGCAUGUUAUUUUGGAAAGAAAAUGCGAAUGCCGAUACUUGCUCUAUGUGUGGGUCUUCAAUAUGGAAGAGUGCUGGUCCUUUGACUAAAGCAAGCUCUAAACUCCCUGCAAAGGUUUUAAGGUACUUUCCUUUAAAGCCUAGGCUUCAAAGGAUAUUCAUGUGUCCUGAAACGCUGCUGCAAUGAGAUGGCAUGCUAAUGAACGACCAAAUGAUGUCAAUAUAAGACAUCCUGCUGAUGGGGAAGCUUGGAAGGCUUUUGAUUCUUUGCACCCAGAAUUCUCUAGAGAUCCUCGGAAUGUUAGAUUGGGUCUUUCAAGUGAUGGUUUCAACUCGUUUCGGACCAUGAGCAUUUCUCAUAGCACGUGGCCUGUUAUGUUAAUGAACUAUAAUUUAUCACCGUGGAUUUGCAUGAAGCCAGAGUAUAUAAUGUUGUCUAUGAUCAUUCCUGGUCCAUCAUCUCCUGGAAAUGAUAUAGAUGUGUACCUCCGUCCAUUAAUUGAAGAAUUGAAGGAGCUAUGGGAAACUGGGAUAGACACAAAAUAGUGGAGUGACUUUAUCGGCGACAACAGAUAGUUUUGCUAGUUCUAGGGACCAAAAUCCCAUCGAUGGUGAGGUUAUCUAUUAUGGAGCGAUUCAGGAUAUCAUUGAGAUUGAUUAUUGGGAUUGUUUUAGUGUUGUACUGUUUAGAUGUGAUUGUUUUCGUAAUGAAAUAGAUGAUUAUGGGUUAACUUGGGUGUACUUCAAUAGAUUAUGUUGUAGAGAUGACCCUUUUGUGUUGGCAUCACAAGUUUAUCAAGUUUUUUAUGUGGAGGAUCCAGUUGAGAAAGAUAUUUAUUAUGCGAGGAGCAAAGUACAUGUUGAUUUGUAUGAUCUAGAGGAAGAGAACUGUCCUAAUAUUGGAGACACAUUUUGGAAGGAACCUAAUAAUGACAUUGGUUCCUCAUCUAGAUUACUUGAUGUUGACAUUAGAUGGUCAAGAGAAGAUGUACCCGUUGAUAUCAUUGAUACUCCAUCUAAUGCACAAAAUUCACAUGAUACAACGGUGGAAACAUCGGAAGAGGAGGAUGGGUUUGAUGAUACUGAUUGGGACUGGAUGGAAGCAGAUGAUUAAAUAAGAAAAUUCUGAAAUUCUUUUAAGUAUAUUCUUUUUUGGGAUUGGAGAUCCGGUACCAUUAUUUCCUUUUCUGCUUCAGCUGUCCAAGUCUUCAAGUGUGAAACACAAUUGAAUCUGAAAAAUAUUUGAAUAGACAUGAAUCAAGAAGGGUGCUCAAGCAAAAAUAAGAAAAUAUCCAACUGUAUUCCAGCUGGAUCACUUGCAUCUUUGCGAAACCAAAGGGUUUCGUCGUUGAAAACAAAAAGAACCUUCCAAGAUACAAGGUCAAAUGAAAAUGAAGCACGACAGUCAGAAGGUGGAUUACCUUCAUCUUUGCGAAACCAAAAGGUUUCGUCAUUGACAACAAAACAGUCUUGAAAGCUAUAAGGUCAAGUGCAAAUGAAGAACAUCAAUCCGAAGGUGGAUCUCAAUUGCAAGAACAAGUGCAACAAGUGCCACGGAAUUCCACCUCUUCAGCAGCACAAGGAGUACACGAACAAGUGCAUCAAGCGAAUAUGGAUUCCAUCACUCAUGCAUCACAGGGAGUACAUGAACAAUUUGAUGAUUCGACCAAUCAUGAAGCAGCUGAACAAAUUGAGGAACAAG